rnacentral:rRNA from 1 species
AGAGUUUGAUCAUGGCUCAGGAUGAACGCUAGCGACAGGCCUAACACAUGCAAGUCGAGGGGCAGCAUAAAGGUAGCAAUACUUUGGUGGCGACCGGCGCACGGGUGAGUAACACGUAUGCAACCUACCUGUAAGAGGGGAAUAACCCGGAGAAAUUCGGACUAAUACCGCAUAAUACCACGAAGCUGCAUGGCUUUGUGUUUAAACAUUUAUGGCUUACAGAUGGGCAUGCGUAUGAUUAGAUAGUUGGUAGGGUAACGGCCUACCAAGUCAACGAUCAUUAGGGGUUCUGAGAGGAAGGUCCCCCACACUGGUACUGAGACACGGACCAGACUCCUACGGGAGGCAGCAGUGAGGAAUAUUGGUCAAUGGGCGAGAGCCUGAACCAGCCAAGUCGCGUGAAGGAAGAAGGUUCUAUGGAUUGUAAACUUCUUUUAUAAGGGAAUAAAAAGAGUUACGUGUAACUUAUUGUAUGUACUUUACGAAUAAGGAUCGGCUAACUCCGUGCCAGCAGCCGCGGUAAUACGGAGGAUCCAAGCGUUAUCCGGAUUUAUUGGGUUUAAAGGGUGCGUAGGCGGACCCGUUAGUCAGUGGUGAAAGUUUGCAGCUCAACUGUAAAAUUGCCAUUGAAACUGCGGGUCUUGAGUGUAAAUAAGGUAGGCGGAAUGUGUUGUGUAGCGGUGAAAUGCUUAGAUAUAACACAGAACACCAAUUGCGAAGGCAGCUUACUGGGAUACAACUGACGCUGAGGCACGAAAGCGUGGGGAUCAAACAGGAUUAGAUACCCUGGUAGUCCACGCAGUAAACGAUGAAUACUAGCUGUAUGCGAUAUACUGUAUGUGGCAAAGCGAAAGCGUUAAGUAUUCCACCUGGGGAGUACGUUCGC